rnacentral:tRNA from 1 species
ACCCCUCUGGUGUAUCGGUUAACAUAACGGAUUCUCACUCCGUGGCGCAGGGUUCGACUCCCUGGGGGGGUA